CACCAUGCCUGGACACUGCACUCCAGCGUGGGCAACAGAGCUAGACUCCAUCUCAAAAAAAAAAAAAAAAUCUUACUCUCUGUGGUUUCUGGUUUCCUGUCAAAAAUUAUAGUUUGGUCUUUGUAGGUUUGAACAUAGCAAGCACAGAUGUUUUAUGUUGGAACCAAUGUUUUUCAAUGAAAUCACUGUGAGUCUGUUUUUGUUAUCUAUUGUGCAGAGCAUAGUAUUUGGAAAAUUAUCUGUAGAAAUAAUUUAAAGUUUUGAUGGAUUUUCAUUUAUGUCUGCAGGUGCCUGAAAGCACUAGCAGUCUAAUAUAACCUUAAUCCAAUUUCAGAGCCAUACUGCAGACUGAGCUAGGGUUACUACUUAUUUAUUUAUUUAUUUUUGAGACAGAGUUUCACUCUUGUUGCCCAGGCUGCAGUGCAAUGGCACAAUCUCAGCUUACUGCAACCUCCACCUCCUGGGUUCAAGUGAUUCUUCUGCCUCAGCCUCCCAGAGUAGCUGGGAUUACAGGCAUGCGCCACCAUGCCCAGCUAAUUUUACUUUUUUAUCUUUAUGCUUGGAGUUUGUUUCUUGUUCCCAGGCCAAAACAUGGAGAAGGUUACUAGAAUUCUUCCUUUCACAAGCCCUGGAUUCUAACAUCUACUCCUCUAGCUCCACAGGGUACCUAAAUCAGUCUUUUCUCGGCUUUUUUUCCGCGCCCCCGCCCCCGGCUGAGAGAGGGUCUUCCUCUGUCACCCAGGCUGGAGUGCAGUGGCUGUCACCCAGGCUGGAGUGCAGUGGUGCAACCUUGGCUUACUGCAGGCUCGACCUACCAGGCUCAAUCAGUGUUGCUGCCUCAGCCUCUCAAGUAGCUAAGACUACCAGUGUGUGCUGCCCUGCCCCACUAAUUUUGUUUUUUGUUAAGACGAGGUCUCACUGCAUUGCCCGGGCUGGUCAUCUACCCCCUAAGAAUGGAAAAUUUCUCCAUUGCAACCCUGAACAUUGGAUCUACUAUCUCUGGAUUCUCCCAAAUUGCUGGGAUUACAGGUGUAAGCCACCUUUCCUGGCCUGAGUUAUCUUUUAACUCCAGCCAUUGCUGCAGCCAGCAGCAGCAUGCAGGCAUCAUUUGACACCACCUGCCUCACCUGCAGUAAAUAUCUCUUGUUUUUGAUUUGAGUCUGCUCUGCUACGACAGCAUUAGGCACUCCUGGGAAUCUGUUCAGUCAUUCUCAUCCAUGAAAAACCUGGAAGUAUGAGGAAAUUAACAUCCCAUAGGUCAACUCUUGAUCCAAUGGCGGAUGGAAACUAGAAGAUAAAUACUUCUCUUUCCGAAGGACAAUCGUAGGGUAUAUCUUGUACCUGAUGCUUAAAGAGUCCCCAGAAGAACUGAUUCCCAGUGGCCUACAACUCAUUCUUGCACCCUUAAAUUAGCUUUCCAAGCCCUCCUGUUUCACUCUUUUCAUUCUCCCACUCUUGAUCUUGUGAUAUCUUCCCAAACUAAACAACCUCUAUACAAGCCCUUAUUUCGCAGUUU
rnacentral:lncRNA from 1 species